UACGUAGGGUGCGAGCGUUGCCCGGAUUUAUUGGGCGUAAAGGGCGCGUAGGCGGUGAGAUGCGUCCGUUGUGAAAUCGCCCGGCUCAACUGGGCGGGGUCAGCGGAUACGGUCUCACUUGAGCAAGCUAGGGGGCAAUGGAAUUCCCGGUGUAGUGGUGGAAUGCGUAGAUAUCGGGAGGAACACCAGUGGCGAAGGCGGUUGCCUGGGGCUUACCUGACGCUGAGGAGCGAAAGCGUGGGGAGCGAACAGG
rnacentral:rRNA from 1 species